rnacentral:lncRNA from 10 species
AGAGGAGCCAGCUCUCUGGUUUCUACUGAAAUGUUUCUAGCAUUAAACAAACAUUGGAGGAAACACAAACAUCUGUCUGGAAGCGAAGCCUGGAGCUCGUGAAUUCCAGGGCUGGCUGUGGCCCCUGCCUCUGAUUUCCUGUGUGGGCCAGGACAAUUGGCUUCUUCUCUCUGUGUCUUAGGUGAGCUGGCUCUCCUUCCUGGCUCCUACCCUUAACCCUGGCCACAUGGUGGGAUUAGGAGGGCAGAUGCAAUUGGAAAGUAGGAGGAAGUGUCUCAUUCCACGGUGGCACCAGGCAGAAGUGGGCAGGAGAGAUGUUUACCCUGCCAGGCCUCAUAAAGUCAUCUUUCUCAGCAAACCACCAUUUAUUAACCCCUUCUCUUCUCCAGUCACUCAGCUACACUAAUGCACGAGAAUGCUCAGACGACAUGGUAUCUCUUAGGAUGAUCUAUAUCUUAAGGGCAAAUGCAGCCAUUGCUGAAGAAUUGGGUAGGUGAAAUCAUUCAUUGAACCUGUGCAUUUGGUUUCACCAUGUUUUCACGUGUUUCUAGAUAGCUAGGUUCAGCUAAUGUACAACAGGACAUGCCCUGUUAGCUUGCUAAUAGCUGGGAUUAAUGUGGAGAUUCAGUGUUUCCUGCAAGCCCAAAGCAUUGAUAGCCUAUUCCAAAUUUUCAACCCUCUUCUUGGUAUAUAGAGCUUGAUAUACCAACAUUAAUAUCUUGGUUUAUAUUGAAAGCCAAAUUUGCAUCUAGCCUAUGCUCACCUUUAAUCCAUUAUCAAGCACUAGCAUUGCUUUGCACAUAAUAGAUGUUCAAUAGCUACUUAAUGACUCAAUGAAUUAAUUAAUGUUACAAUUCAGAAGCUGGUUGCAACACUGUAUGUGCGCGUGUGCCUGUCAUCAUUCUAACACUUGAGAGCUAGGAGGGACCUUAGAAUCCUUUGCUUUAGCACCUUAUUCAACACAAGGUGAACCUGAGGCUCAGGGAGAAGGGGCUUGCCCCAAGCUACAGUACAGUCAGAACAGGACUCUGAGACCACUCAGUUUGAUGCUUUUUCUUCAUUCCUUUCUGCACCCCUCUCCACCCCUCAUAACCAACCGUUCCCUUUUCCUCAUGCUCCAGUGGAGAGUCCAAGCAACGUUCCUGAAAUCAUGAGGAGCUCUGCCAGGCGCCUCAGCCUGCACAGAGACAGCUCUGCACUGCCUUUCUCUAGGAGCCAGAUCCAACGAGGCUCUUCAAAGGGGCUGGAGGCCCACGGUGGCAGCUGGGCCCUUCCUUCACUCAACACUACUCAACCUCGCUGGGACUAUUUGGAGUCAGAAGUCCUAUGUUUGAGUUUCCACCCAGUGAAGUACCAGCUACAAAACCUUGGCCAAACCACUUCACUUCCCUGGGUCUCAGUUUCCUUGUCUGUAAAAGAACAGUAAUAAAUCCUGCCUUGUGUGUAUUCUAGAUGGUUGAGGAUCAAGCAAGAAAAGAUGCAUAUGAAAACUUUAAGCUAUGAAAUGUAAUAUACCAAGGUAUUGACAAUAUAACAAUAAUUAUUAUUUUCAGUAAUUUCUUGCCUGGGAGGAGUGAUAUACCCAGUCAACUGUGUCUCACAGUGUUUCUAAAAUAUCUUCAGGACAGAGAUUUGUACCAGCCACAGACAGUGGUAGCGACCACACCUACGUUUAGAGUGGCUUCCUGCCGCAGGGUACACCUGUCCUUCCACCUCUUUCAGGUCAACGAUAAGCCAGUGCUCUCAGCAGUAAUCCUUGGCUCCCAAUAAUUACUGUUUGUGAAGACCCAUCUAACACCAGGGAGAGGAGAGGUGUGUUCAUUACUGCGGAGGAGGAGGGCAGUAGAUGACACUUACUUCGUACCCUCUACUCCUUUGCAUAACUUCUUCUGGACUCAGCGUAUGUAGGGUUGUAGUUAUUUGCAGUGUUGGAGUAAAAUGAACCCUAAACACCAAACAGCUCCUGAUCUGUACCUCUGAAAAGUGAGACUGAUGGCUUCUCCUUUUUCUUCUCUUCCUUUCAGCUCUGUGACAGCAUGGGCUCACCUCUAGCGAGCGCCUUCCUACUGACAGUGCUUGGCGGCGAUCUGGUGUGCCUGUGGGGGCCUCCCACUUUAAAGGCCUUUCCCAGGUCCUCCAAACUGAACUUUGUGUCCUUGCUAUGUGAAACAUGGAAAUCUUAUUUAUUUCCAAAAGCAACCUAUACUCAUUCCUAGAAAUAGAAAGGAUGGACCCAGGAGAACUGGCUCUGACAUAAGUGAGUUGUGUCAACGUGGGGAGGUCACUUAACCUGUGUUUGCAACAAUUUCUCUUUAAAAUGGGGAGCACCAUGCCCUGGCCUACAUUACCAUCCAGCCUGAGGUUUUAGUGAGAUGCUGGGCAUGGAAGCACUUUGCAAGGAGUUACACUAAGAUAGUGGAUGAUUUUUAUUUGAAUACUGCAGCGAUCCUCCCUUUCCUUCUGACACCUCUUCAUGCCCUCAUUCCAUUCCAUUCUACACUCUACCCACUUAGGUCUAAUCUGACUUUACAUAUACCUGACUUUCUGGAAUUCAUUUGGUCUUAGUGGGCCACCAUUUGCAUUCUGCGAGACACCAUGUGGCUCCUCAAUCUGUUGACAUGUGCCCUUCAAGCACACGGAGGCACUCAACAUGGGCACCUAGCAGUCCAUGUGGGCUGUGCACACACAACAUCUGGUUUGGAAGCGGUGAACUGGUGAAUUUAAUUGUCCUAUGCAUCAGAUUGAGUAACCGAAAUCCAGAAGAACUCAAGGGUGAAGGACUUUCCCAAGGUCUAUGGAGCACCAGUUUACUGCUCUAGAGCAGAAAGUCAUAUUUCCCAGAGUUUUUGAUGAAAGGAAUUCAGGGCAACAACAUCUGGUGCUGAUUUGAACGUGGUAGGUUGGGUACAAGGAGCUGCAGGGGGAUGAGAAAUCGUCUAUGGCAAGAAUCAGCACAGGUAAUUUUCAGGCUGACUUGUUUCUCCCUCACUGAGCCACACUGGCUUGACAGCUGCUUCUUUGUACCCUGAAAUAUUUGAGCAGCCUGCAGUCACGGCCCUUUGCAUGUCCCUGCCUGCUUUCGCCACUCGGGAAGAACUCAGGUCUUGCAGAGGCUACCCCUGAUUCCCAUGAUUAGAUGUGGACCCUGUAGGAGACAGAGGGGUGGGUCAGAGGCCCUGAGAGAGAAGAAGGAAGGAGGUUGGUAUCUUCUUUUCCCUGAAAACAGUCCCCACAAUUUCUGAGUGUUAUUAAGAAGGUAUUGAUGUAGAAUUCAAGUUCAUUCCAGCACACAGUGGGUUUACCAAGUUGGCCAAGGGGGCUUUGUGGUCAAUGACUAUGACCUCAACUGCCCAUCACUGAACUAUAUGUACAGGUCCUUCUGUCUUGAUGAAACAAUAGGAAGAAGCUAAUUUGGGAAAGAAAGAAUAGAGAGGUGUGUGGGUGUGUGAGUGUGUGCGCAUGUUCUUUUAUUAAUUGAUAAUACAUUAAUUGUUUAGAUUUUUAAAAUCAAACACACACACACACACACACACACACACACACACACACACACACACACACACACACACACACGCUCCCGCUCUCUUUUAUUAAUUGAUAAAGGCACCACUGCCCUCUACUGGCAACAAUAUCAUCUUUCCAGUGUUAGAAAUGCCUGGAUGGAGCCUUCAUUGCU